rnacentral:rRNA from 1 species
UAUUCUCCCGGUACGGUCAUUAUCAUCCCGGGUAAAAGAGCUUUACAACCCGAAGGCCUUCUUCACUCACGCGGCAUUGCUGGAUCAGGCUUUCGCCCAUUGUCCAAUAUUCCCCACUGCUGCCUCCCG